UGCUCACUGCUCGUUUGUCUGCUUCUUCUGAUUUGUGUCGUUGGUCUUGUUUGUUUCCUACCCAAAAUGCAUUGCGCUCCAUGUCACGUCC